rnacentral:sRNA from 1 species
CUCACUUCCGCCCAGGUGAGGCAGGGCCGACACCGAGCCCGCCGGACCCGGGCUCCCACCUGCUCCUCCAGCGCACCAGGUGUCUUUAAGAGUGAUUGAAGAGAAUAAUUCAAAAUGCCUGAAAAUCCUGCUACAGAUAAACUGCAGGUGCUGCAGGUACUUGAUCGCCUGAAAAUGAAAUUGCAGGAGAAGGGUGACACGUCGCAGAAUGAGAAGUUAUCUAUGUUUUAUGAGACACUAAAGAGUCCUCUCUUCAACCAGAUACUCACACUUCAGCAGUCCAUCAAGCAACUGAAGGGUCAACUCAACCAUAUACCCUCAGAUUGUUCAGCCAACUUUGAUUUUUCUAGGAAAGGUUUGUUAGUGUUCACAGAUGGUUCCAUUACUAAUGGAAAUGUCCACAGGCCCUCUAAUAACUCGACUGUAUCUGGGUUAUUUCCGUGGACCCCGAAGUUGGGAAAUGAAGACUUUAACUCAGUCAUUCAACAGAUGGCUCAGGGCCGGCAAAUUGAAUAUAUAGAUAUAGAACGGCCUUCAACUGGAGGCCUUGGAUUCAGUGUGGUGGCCCUCAGAAGUCAAAAUCUCGGAAAAGUUGAUAUCUUCGUGAAGGAUGUCCAGCCAGGGAGUGUAGCAGACAGGGAUCAAAGAUUAAAGGAAAAUGAUCAAAUAUUGGCCAUUAAUCACACGCCAUUGGAUCAGAACAUUUCCCAUCAGCAAGCAAUUGCAUUAUUACAACAAACCACUGGAUCUUUGCGACUGAUUGUGGCCAGGGAACCAGUCCACACAAAAAGCAGUACUUCUAGCAGCCUAACUGAUACAACUCUGCCUGAAACAGUUUGUUGGGGCUGUGUUGAAGAGGUUGAGCUCAUUAAUGAUGGCUCUGGACUAGGUUUUGGAAUAGUUGGAGGAAAAACAAGUGGUGUGGUUGUGAGGACUAUAGUUCCUGGAGGAUUAGCAGAUCGAGAUGGAAGACUCCAGACAGGGGACCACAUCUUGAAAAUUGGUGGCACAAACGUGCAGGGAAUGACCAGUGAGCAAGUUGCACAAGUUCUAAGGAACUGUGGGAAUUCAGUCAGGAUGCUCGUUGCUAGAGAUCCAGCUGGUGACAUUUCAGUCACCCCUCCUGCCCCUGCAGCCUUACCUGUUGCCCUGCCUACUGUAGCCAGCAAGGGCCUUGGUUCUGACAGUUCUCUUUUUGAAACUUAUAAUGUUGAGCUUGUGAGAAAAGAUGGGCAGAGUCUUGGAAUUAGAAUUGUUGGCUAUGUUGGAACAUCUCAUACAGGGGAAGCUUCAGGGAUUUAUGUGAAAAGUAUAAUACCUGGCAGUGCUGCGUACCACAAUGGCCACAUUCAAGUGAAUGACAAAAUAGUUGCUGUCGAUGGCGUGAACAUUCAGGGUUUUGCCAACCAUGAUGUUGUUGAAGUAUUACGAAAUGCAGGGCAGGUGGUACACCUAACCCUAGUUCGAAGGAAGACAUCUUCAUCUACUUCUCCACUUGAACCACCUUCAGACAGAGGAACUGUUGUAGAACCACUGAAACCACCAGCUCUCUUUCUAACUGGAGCAGUGGAAACUGAAACUAAUGUGGAUGGUGAAGAUGAGGAAAUUAAAGAAAGAAUGGAUACUUUAAAAAAUGACAACAUACAUGCCUUAGAAAAAUUGGAAAAAGUCCCAGACUCUCCAGAAAAUGAGCUGAAAUCCAGAUGGGAAAACCUGUUGGGUCCUGAUUAUGAAGUAAUGGUUGCUACUUUGGACACACAGAUUGCAGAUGAUGCUGAGUUACAGAAAUAUUCAAAGCUGCUGCCUAUUCACACUCUGAGGCUUGGUGUGGAAGUGGAUUCCUUUGAUGGGCACCAUUAUAUUUCUUCAAUUGUUUCUGGUGGUCCUGUUGAUACAUUGGGUCUCCUACAGCCAGAAGAUGAGCUGCUUGAGGUCAACGGCAUGCAGCUUUAUGGAAAAUCUCGCCGAGAAGCAGUCUCCUUUCUUAAAGAAGUGCCACCCCCUUUUACUUUGGUUUGCUGUCGGAGGUUGUUUGAUGAUGAGGCUUCUGUAGAUGAACCAAGGCGCACUGAAACCUCGCUUCCUGAGACAGAGGUUGACCACAAUAUGGAUGUCAAUACUGAAGAAGAUGAUGAUGGGGAAUUAGCACUGUGGUCCCCUGAAGUCAAGAUUGUUGAACUAGUAAAAGAUUGUAAAGGUUUGGGAUUCAGCAUUUUGGAUUACCAGGACCCUUUAGAUCCUACAAGAUCAGUGAUUGUGAUCCGCUCCCUGGUAGCAGAUGGUGUAGCAGAAAGAAGUGGGGGACUAUUACCUGGAGACCGCCUGGUCUCAGUCAAUGAAUACUGUUUGGACAACACCUCACUUGCUGAAGCUGUGGAAAUAUUGAAAGCUGUGCCACCAGGCCUAGUACACCUUGGCAUCUGUAAGCCUUUGGUGGAAGAUAAUGAAGAAGAAAGUUGUUAUAUUUUACAUUCAAGCAGUAAUGAAGACAAGACUGAAUUUUCAGGAACAAUUCAUGAUAUAAAUUCAUCUUUAAUACUCGAAGCACCCAAGGGAUUUAGAGAUGAACCAUAUUUUAAAGAAGAACUUGUGGAUGAACCAUUUCUAGAUCUGGGAAAGUCUUUCCAUUCCCAACAAAAAGAGAUAGAGCAAAGCAAGGAGGCCUGGGAGAUGCAUGAAUUUCUGACUCCUAGAUUGCAGGAAAUGGAUGAAGAAAGAGAAAUGCUUGUUGAUGAAGAAUAUGAGUUAUAUCAAGAUCCCUCACCAUCCAUGGAGUUGUAUCCCUUGUCGCACAUUCAAGAGGCCACUCCUGUGCCCUCUGUGAAUGAACUUCACUUUGGUACACAGUGGUUGCAUGAUAAUGAACCAUCCGAGUCUCAAGAGGCAAGAACCGGGAGGACUGUCUAUUCCCAGGAGGCACAGCCGUAUGGCUAUUGCCCUGAAAAUGUGAUGAAAGAAAAUUUUGUCAUGGAGUCCCUACCAUCUGUACCAUCAACUGAAGGAAACAGUCAACAAGGCAGAUUUGACGACCUGGAAAAUCUUAAUUCAUUAGCAAAAACUAGUCUGGAUUUAGGCAUGAUCCCGAAUGAUGUCCAAGGUCCUAGCUUGCUUAUUGACCUUCCUGUUGUGGCUCAAAUUAGGGAGCAAGAAGAUUUGCCUUUAUAUCAACACCAAGCGACGCGAGUUAUUUCCAAGGCCUCAGCAUACACAGGAAUGUUGUCUUCUAGAUAUGCCACUGAUACAUGUGAGUUACCUGAGAGAGAAGAAGGCGAAGGAGAAGAAACUCCAAAUUUUAGCCACUGGGGUCCACCGAGAAUUGUUGAGAUUUUUAGAGAACCCAAUGUGUCUCUUGGGAUCAGUAUUGUUGGUGGACAAACUGUUAUAAAACGUCUGAAGAAUGGAGAGGAGCUUAAAGGUAUAUUCAUCAAACAAGUUUUAGAAGACAGUCCAGCAGGGAAAACGAACGCACUUAAAACUGGAGAUAAAAUACUUGAGGUGUCUGGAGUAGAUUUGCAGAAUGCCUCACACAGCGAAGCAGUUGAGGCCAUUAAGAAUGCAGGAGACCCUGUGGUGUUCGUUGUUCAGAGUUUGUCAUCCACUCCACGAGUCAUUCCUAAUGUACAUAACAAGGCCAACAAAAUCACCAGUAACCAGAACCAGGACACCCAAGAAAAGAAAGAAAAGAGGCAAGGAACUGCUCCACCGCCAAUGAAACUUCCUCCUCCUUAUAAAGCUCUAACUGAUGACAGUGAUGAAAAUGAAGAAGAAGAUGCCUUUACCGACCAAAAAAUCAGACAAAGAUAUGCAGAUCUGCCUGGAGAACUGCACAUUAUUGAACUUGAAAAAGAUAAGAAUGGACUUGGACUCAGCCUUGCUGGUAAUAAAGACCGAUCACGCAUGAGCAUAUUUGUGGUGGGAAUUAACCCGGAAGGACCUGCUGCCACAGAUGGACGAAUGCAUAUUGGAGAUGAACUCUUAGAGAUAAACAAUCAGAUUCUGUAUGGAAGAAGUCACCAAAAUGCAUCUGCCAUUAUUAAGACUGCCCCAUCAAAGGUCAAGCUGGUUUUCAUCAGAAACGAGGAUGCAGUCAAUCAGAUGGCCGUUACUCCCUUUCCAGUGCCAUCAAGUUCUCCAUCUUCUAUUGAGGAUCAGAGCGGCACCGAACCUAUUAGUAGUGAGGAAGACGGCAGCCUCGAAGUUGGUAUUAAACAAUUGCCUGAAAGUGAAAGCUUCAAACUGGCUGUCAGCCAGAUGAAACAGCAAAAAUAUCCAACAAAAGUCUCCUUCAGUUCACAAGAGAUACCAUUAGCACCAGCUUCAUCAUACCAUUCAACAGAUGCAGACUUCACAGGCUAUGGUGGUUUCCAGGCUCCUCUGUCAGUGGACCCCGCAACGUGUCCCAUUGUCCCUGGACAGGAAAUGAUUAUAGAAAUAUCCAAGGGACGUUCAGGGCUUGGUCUCAGCAUUGUGGGAGGAAAAGACACACCCUUGUUCUGGAGGCUGGGAAGUCCAAGAGCAUGGAGCCAGCAUCUGGUGAGGGCCUUCAUGCUGCAUCAUCCUGUGACAGAAGUUGAAGGGCAAAAUGCUAUAGUUAUCCAUGAAGUCUAUGAAGAAGGGGCAGCAGCCAGAGAUGGAAGACUUUGGGCUGGUGACCAGAUAUUAGAGGUUAAUGGGGUUGACCUGAGGAACUCCAGCCACGAAGAAGCCAUCGCAGCCCUGAGGCAGACCCCCCAGAAGGUGCGGCUGGUGGUGUAUAGAGAUGAGGCACACUACCGGGAUGAGGAGAACUUGGAGAUUUUCCCUGUGGAUCUGCAGAAGAAAGCUGGCCGGGGCCUGGGCCUGAGCAUCGUUGGGAAACGGUAA